rnacentral:rRNA from 1 species
UACGGAGGGUGCAAGCGUUAAUCGGAAUUACUGGGCGUAAAGCGCGCGUAGGCGGUUGUUUAAGUCAGAUGUGAAAGCCCCGGGCUCAACCUGGGAAUGGCCUCUGAUACUGGAUAACUAGAGUUUGGGAGAGGGGAGUAGAAUUUCAGGUGUAGCGGUGAAAUGCAUAGAUAUCUGAAGGAAUACCAGUGGCGAAGGCGACUCCCUGGCCUAAAACUGACGCUGAGGUGCGAAAGCGUGGGUAGCAAACAGG